GGUGGUGCGGCUCAGCGGUAGAGCACUGGCCUAGCAACUGUGAGGCCCUGGGUUCCAUCCUCGGCACCACCA
rnacentral:tRNA from 1 species